UGGUGGGGUGACUUGUCUGCUUAAUUGCGAUAACGAACGAGACCUUAACCUGCUAAAUAGCCCACAUUGCUCCGGCAGUGCGCUGGCUUCUUAGAGGGACUUUCGGCUCAAGCCGAAGGAAGUUUGAGGCAAUAACA
rnacentral:rRNA from 1 species